AUCGCCAUGGGUGAGAAUGCUGCCACUUAUUCCCUGGUAAGGAUAGACUUGGUCACUGCAUCAAUCCUUGAUUUCUCGUGAGAAAAACAGCUAAUUUGAUAGCACUAUGAAAAAUUAUAGGCUAUUCUGACAAUAUUAGUGGUUCUGUAGAUGUGGUAGCUGUUUCAACGUGUGCUCAUCUUAGCUCUCUCAUUGCAGAGUCGAGGGUGUCACCAUCACGAUCGCCAUGGGUGAGAAUGCUGCCACUUAUUCCCUGAAUCAAGGGUGUCACCAUCAUGAUCGCCAUGGGUGAGAAUGCUGCCACUUAUUCCCUGAGUCGAGGGUGUCACCAUCACAAUCGCCAUGGAUGAGAAUGCUGCCACUUAUACCCUG